AGCUGUCUCUGUCUACUUGGAGGGAAUGGAGUUGGCGCUUCUGUAGCAAGUACAGUAAUUACACAAUGCUCCAUUAAAUACUAGGAAUGCGAGAAAGACCCAACACAGAUGUUACAGUGAAUCUGCAGAAAACUAGUGAUGAAAUCAUACAGGAUGACUGGCAGUGGGUGCAAAAAGAAGAGAAAGGACACACUAGGGUUAAAAUGUUCCAGAAAAGAGAAUAAAGCCACAGCGGAACUAAUGGACAUCAGAAGAAGCCGAGGUGUGAUGUGAUGUCACCGAAAUAGAUGCAUGAUCAAAUUCUGGCCAAAUCCAGCCUGUUCCGGCACAAAUUA